GGGGGCGACUGGCCUCGACGGGGGUUAUGAGGUCUGAGUUGCAUGCCGUGGCUCUGUCACCACGUAAAAAGGCAGAAAAAAACACAAAAGCCAACAACGAACUGGCACUCGCCGCUUAAAAAAGCGACGCGCUUCCCUGAUAAUGCCUGCGGCUCAGAAGAAGCGUCGACAAGCAGGCUGGUCUGAAGAGGUUGCCCUUGUUCUUCAGGCAAGAUCAAGAGGGAUUGGAAUCAGAAAGGCCUUCUUGCCGGCAUUUCCGGUUCUGAAAUUUAAAAGGUAAGAUAAGCAUGUAGACGCUCAGAAGUAGUACUUCCGGACCCGGGUUCGAUUCCCGGCGCCUCCACCA
rnacentral:tmRNA from 1 species